rnacentral:tRNA from 1 species
GAGGCUAUAGCUCAAGUGAUAGAGCACAUGCUUAGCAUGCAUGAGGUCCUGGGUUCAAUUUCCAGUAUCCCCU